rnacentral:tRNA from 1 species
GGCUCGUUGGUCUAGGGGUAUGAUUCUCGCUUUGGGUGCGAGAGGUCCCGGGUUCGAAUCCCGGGCGAGCCC